rnacentral:rRNA from 1 species
UACAGAGGUCUCAAGCGUUGUUCGGAUUCAUUGGGCGUCAAGGGUGCGUAGGCGGCGCGGUAAGUCGGGUGUGAAAUCUCGGAGCUUAACUCCGAAACUGCAUUCGAUACUGCCGUGCUUGAGGACUGGAGAGGAGACUGGAAUUUACGGUGUAGCGGUGAAAUGCGUAGAUAUCGUAAGGAAGACCAGUGGCGAAGGCGGGUCUCUGGACAGUUCCUGACGCUGAGGCACGAAGGUCAGGGGAGCAAACGGG